rnacentral:rRNA from 1 species
UUCGGGGUACUCGAGCGGCGAACGGGUGAGUAACACGUGAGCAACCUGCCCCAGGCUUUGGGAUAACCCCGGGAAACCGGGGCUAAUACCGAAUAUGACCUUGCACCGCAUGGUGUUUGGUGGAAAGUUUUUCGGCUUGGGAUGGGCUCGCGGCCUAUCAGCUUGUUGGUGGGGUGAUGGCCUACCAAGGCGACGACGGGUAGCCGGCCUGAGAGGGCGACCGGCCACACUGGGACUGAGACACGGCCCAGACUCCUACGGGAGGCAGCAGUGGGGAAUAUUGCACAAUGGGCGGAAGCCUGAUGCAGCGACGCCGCGUGAGGGAUGACGGCCUUCGGGUUGUAAACCUCUUUCAGCAGGGACGAAGCGUAAGUGACGGUACCUGCAGAAGAAGCGCCGGCCAACUACGUGCCAGCAGCCGCGGUAAGACGUAGGGCGCGAGCGUUGUCCGGAUUUAUUGGGCGUAAAGAGCUCGUAGGCGGCUUGUCGCGUCGACCGUGAAAACCUGGGGCUCAACCCCAGGCCUGCGGUCGAUACGGGCAGGCUAGAGUUCGGUAGGGGAGACUGGAAUUCCUGGUGUAGCGGUGAAAUGCGCAGAUAUCAGGAGGAACACCGGUGGCGAAGGCGGGUCUCUGGGCCGAUACUGACGCUGAGGAGCGAAAGCGUGGGGAGCGAACAGGAUUAGAUACCCUGGUAGUCCACGCUGUAAACGUUGGGCGCUAGG